rnacentral:rRNA from 1 species
GAUGAACGCUGGCGGCGUGCUUAACACAUGCAAGUCGAACGGAAAGGCCAGUGCUUGCACUGGUACUCGAGUGGCGAACGGGUGAGUAACACGUGGGUGAUCUGCCCUGCACUUCGGGAUAAGCCUGGGAAACUGGGUCUAAUACCGGAUAGGACAAUGGUUUGGAUGCCGUUGUGGAAAGUUUUUCGGUGUGGGAUGAGCUCGCGGCCUAUCAGCUUGUUGGGGGGGUAAUGGCCUACCAAGGCGUCGACGGGUAGCCGGCCUGAGAGGGUGUACGGCCACAUUGGGACUGAGAUACGGCCCAGACUCCUACGGGAGGCAGCAGUGGGGAAUAUUGCACAAUGGGCGCAAGCCUGAUGCAGCGACGCCGCGUGGGGGAUGACGGCCUUCGGGUUGUAAACUCCUUUCGCUAGGGACGAAGCGUAUUUGUGACGGUACCUGGAGAAGAAGCACCGGCUAACUACGUG